CGAGCAUUUUGCUUGCCGGAAAAUUUAGCGCGUUUUUUUUUUUUUUUUGGUAACAUACGAACGAUAACAAACCGCAUUUCACAAAACAAUUGAGCAGCAUACCAAAACGCAAACGAUAUAACAAAAAUUGAACAAUUGUGAAAUCAAAUGCCGAAAUAUGGGAAACUAAAUAUUGUUGUAUAUGUAUAUGCAUGCGUGUAUAUGUGCGCAUAUAUGAUAAUAUGCAUACGGUGAACACAUUUAACUCAAAUGCGGCGCGAGAAGAGCAAGAGCUGGGCAGCCCGGAGAAAUAGCUGAGGCAGCGAUCGACAUUUAGAAGCAUAUUGCAAAUUGAUUGACAAGCGAAAGAGGAAAAGAGGACAAAAAAAAAAAAAGGUGAUGCGCAAAACAGAAACCGAAACGGCAACCAACAGUCACACCGAUUGCGAGAGCGACAGCUUGAGAGUGUGUGUGUGAGACAGAGAGAGAGAGAGAGAGAGAGAGAGAAGCAGCAGCAGCAGCCAA
rnacentral:sRNA from 1 species